UUUUCUUUCCUGACUCGGCCGCCGUCUUGAGUGUUUCUGGAGCUUGGCCCGGCUUCUGGUCCAAGGGUCCUGGCACGUGGUUGCUUGCGCCCCCCCAGAUGUGCACGCAUGCAGUCCCGCUCUCUGUCCACAAGGCGGCAGCAGUGCCGCCCUUCCCUCGCUCGGCAGCCGGCCUUCCCCCCCGGCGCCCAGCGGCGAGGGGCCGGGCGCUGUCGGGGGAGCUGCAGUACCGCGCUCUGUCCACGAGGCGGCAGCACUGCCGCCGGGCGCUGCCGGGGGGCGGGCGGAGAGCGGAGGCGCAAGGUGCCCGGGAGCCCCUGCCGCCGUUCUUACGGUUUCGGGGCACAGCUCGGUUUUCUAAAUCAAAAUGUUAUGGCAUUACUUUCAAAACCUUUGGAUGUCCCCUCAGAGUUUUAUAUUCCUGUAUAUGAUAAAGUAGAUAGAAAGGGCAUAUUUCAAAAUGAGUUUAUAAAUAAAUUCCAGUCAAUGUCUACCAAAAAUCAGAGGCCCUGAAACACAAGAAGCUGUGCUGCAGGACCUGGUGGACUUGGUGUGCCCCUGGUUGUACCUACUCAGGUGUUCCCCUGCUGUGCUGUUGGUGCUGCAUAUCAGAGCAGUAGGGAUGGACAAGUCCAGAGAGCUGGAGCCGAACCCCACUGAGCCGUUUUGGAGCAGGGCGUAACAAUUGCCUUGGGUAUUUGCUACUGGGACUAGUGAGAUCCUUUUCCUGAUCCUGAGGGGAGACCUUGAAACAGAACUGUGAGAAAUGAGGAUGCUGCAGCUGGAGCAAUGGGAAUGGAGAGUCCACGGUGGAUGUUGUCUGCCCAGGGCUAAGCUGCUGUUCCCUGAAUUGGGAUGUGGAAUGAGGAGGUCUCUGUUGGGAGAGUGGGAGAAAGUGACACACCUAACUGGUGUCGAUGGGCAGAGAAAUCUGAUAUUGGCAAUAUGUGUUCAUG